AUGGCCGGAAGCGCGAGCGCCACUCCGGUCCUCCUCGUCGUCGUGGUCGCGGCCCUCGCCGCGGGGGCCAGCGCGACAUCGACGCUGACGCCGCUCAGCAUCACCAACCGGUGCUCCUUCACGGUGUGGCCGGCGGUGGCCUCCGCAGGCCUAGGCACCGAGCUCCAUCCGGGAGCCAACUGGACCGUGGACGCGGGGCGGUGCCAGACGGCGGACUGCGGCAGCGGGCUGCGGUGCCGGAGCACCGACCCUGCGGCGCCGGCGACCAAGGCCCAGGUCGCCAUCUCCGAGGGCUUCUACCACUACGGCAUCACGUUGGACAAGGGGUUCAACCUGCCCAUGGAUCUCACGUGCAGCUCCGGCGACGCGCUCCGGUGCCGGGAGGACGGGUGCCACGACGCGUUCCCGUACGUGAAGUACAACGACCACUCAUGCACCGCCGCCGGCAGCCGGCUCCAGAUCGUCUUCUGCCCAUGA
rnacentral:rRNA from 1 species